rnacentral:lncRNA from 1 species
UAUAAUAUUUUCAUUCUUUUACUUGUAACUCUGAAUAAAGAUAUUUUCCCUUCUUUCCAUCUGUUUUACACUUUUGCUUUGAAGCACGUCGGUGUAGUUUGCGGGUAUACUUCGUUCUUUUUCUAAGGAUUUUAUUCAUAGAAAUCGACUUUUCUCUAAGAUGUCGAUUCCUUAAAGUCGAUGUUGCCUGUUGAUCGAUUCUAUCCUUUUCUGAAGAUGUCGAAGUUUAUACAGAAAGUCGAUCCCAUCC